rnacentral:rRNA from 1 species
GACGAACGCUGGCGGCGUGCUUAACACAUGCAAGUCGAACGGAAAGGCCCUGCUUUUGUGGGGUGCUCGAGUGGCGAACGGGUGAGUAACACGUGAGUAACCUGCCCUUGACUUUGGGAUAACUUCAGGAAACUGGGGCUAAUACCGGAUAGGAGCUCCUGCUGCAUGGUGGGGGUUGGAAAGUUUCGGCGGUUGGGGAUGGACUCGCGGCUUAUCAGCUUGUUGGUGGGGUAGUGGCUUACCAAGGCUUUGAAGGGUAGCCGGCCUGAGAGGGUGACCGGCCACAUUGGGACUGAGAUACGGCCCAGACUCCUACGGGAGGCAGCGGUGGGGAAUAUUGCACAAUGGGCGGAAGCCUGAUGCAGCAACGCCGCGUGCGGGAUGACGGCCUUCGGGUUGUAAACCGCUUUCGCCUGUGACGAAGCGUGAGUGACGGUAAUGGGUAAAGAAGCACCGGCUAACUACGUG